GAUGAACGCUGGCGGCGUGCCUAAUACAUGCAAGUCGAGCGAACAGACGAGGAGCUUGCUCCUCUGACGUUAGCGGCGGACGGGUGAGUAACACGUGGAUAACCUACCUAUAAGACUGGGAUAACUUCGGGAAACCGGAGCUAAUACCGGAUAACAUGUUGAACCGCAUGGUUCAACAGUGAAAGACGGUCUUGCUGUCACUUAUAGAUGGAUCCGCGCCGCAUUAGCUAGUUGGUAAGGUAACGGCUUACCAAGGCAACGAUGCGUAGCCGACCUGAGAGGGUGAUCGGCCACACUGGAACUGAGACACGGUCCAGACUCCUACGGGAGGCAGCAGUAGGGAAUCUUCCGCAAUGGGCGAAAGCCUGACGGAGCAACGCAGCGUGAGUGAAGAAGGUCUUCGGAUCGUAAAACUCUGUUAUUAGGGAAGAACAAAUGUGUAAGUAACUAUGCACGUCUUGACGGUACCUAAUCAGAAAGCCACGGCUAACUACGUG
rnacentral:rRNA from 1 species